CAGGUCAAAGGCGCGGCUGUGGGGGGAUCCCCACGCCGCCUGCACCCCCUCCUUGGCGGCGGUGGCAGGAGAUGGGGGAGGCGAGGCUGCCGAGAGAGCUGACCAUGGACAGCUCCGGCGCGGGCCUGUUUCCAGGGCGAGCCAGCCCGGAUCGAGGAACGUCGCCGGCUGUUCCAGCCAGAAGAUCCCAGGCGGUCGUGGCCCCUUUAACAGAAGACUGACGGACGGCGCUGAGUGGCCAAUGAGAAUUAGCGUCCGUGCCGGCCGGCGACAAGGCCCCGCCUUCACAUCAAGAGGGAGGGGCCGCGCGGGCGGAGAGCUGAGGGCGGGACUCAUGGCACAGCAACCAAUAAGCGUGCGGCGUGCGGCGGCCUGGAUGGAGGCGGAGCCCGGCAGAGGAUGAUGUCACCUGAAUCUAGUAGCGCGCGGCGUGGAAAGCGAGUCACGACCCCGCGUUCCCGCGGCAGCAAGGGCGGCUCCCGGAAGGAUGUGCUCGGUUGGAAGGUGAGGCUAGUAGCCGAUGGGUAGCGAGUGCCUGGUACUCCGCACCCCUGCGCCCGCCUGGGGAACUGCACGCGGCCCGCCACCCCCGACUCCCACGCAGACGGUGGCACGGCCCACAGGGCUCCCCCAGCGAAUGGUUCGCUCCGCCACGCCUACAGAGGCAGCGCUCAGGCUCCGGCUCCCGCGUCCGACCCGCGGCGGAAGACCCUGCCAGACCC